GGCUGCUUUCCAUCACUGCAGAGGAGGUUCAACGGAACCGAACGGUGCCGUUAGAAAUGGAAAAAAAAGGGGGGGGGGGGAAAUCACCGCAAAUGGGGAAAAAAGGGGAAAAAAACACCGUCGUCUCCGAGCGGCUGCUCUCUAUCGGCUCCAGACCCGGUCAGCACCGCGCAAAAUGCAAGAAACGGAGGAGAGGCUGUGUGGACUGCGGCUGAGAUGGAGCUGAUGGAGGACAGGAGUCGUCCUCCUCUGGGCCCAGGGGUGGAGGAGAGAGAUGCAACGUUGUCAGGAUGGAGCAUCCACCUCCAGCCGGACUCUCCUGUGUUAUGAAACCCCAGCAGCUGGGAGGAGGAGGCUGGAGCACCACCCAGACCUGACGGAGCCCCUGAGAGAAAUUCAGGCUUCAGGUGAGCUGGGAGCUGCAGCGUGAUGAACGGCAUGUCCAUCAGGAGGAGCAGCAGGAGGAGCGGCGUCUGAACCUGCAGUUCCUUGAAGAUGAAGCAGUGCAGUGAGGCUGAAUCAGGCUGAUUUGGCCUCUCAGCAGCAGCAGAGCCAGGCAUUCAGAUGUCCCUGCAGCGGGUCUCUCUGCAGGUCCAGACCCCGAGAACCCACAGGAGUAACUCAACAACUAGUGGUGUUGAUGUCCUUUCCAAUAAAAACUGUUUUCACACCCAUAUGUGUCUGAAUUCACUGGUUCUUGCUCAACACAAGCACAGCAGUGUUUUUGCAUUUGGCAUUUCUUU